AGAAACAACAGUGGCAAACUUAUUCAUUAAAUACAAACAUGAUUAGAAUUAUACAAUGGGUAAGAGUACUUAUAAGUGCUACUACUAUUCGUUGGGUAUAAAAAGAAAUUAAAAAAACUUCUAGAAACUAAAAACUGGCUACAUGUCCUUUUCACAUGUUAUCAUUGCGGAAAAGAUCAUGCAUGUCAUUCAUAGUGUUGUUAAAAUCAUUAUUUUGACGGAUCCAUUUUGCUCUCAUGUGCUUUCUUCUUCUCUUUUGCUCUUGAUCUUGAUUUCUG
rnacentral:lncRNA from 1 species